UUUUAUGGAGAGUUUGAUCCUGGCUCAGGACGAACGCUGGCGGCGUGCCUAAUACAUGCAAGUCGAGCGAAUGGAUGGGAGCUUGCUCCCUGAAAUUAGCGGCGGACGGGUGAGUAACACGUGGGCAACCUGCCCUGUAGACUGGGAUAACUUCGGGAAACCGAAGCUAAUACCGGAUAAUCUUUGGAGCCUCAUGGUUCUAAAAUGAAAGUUGGGUUUACCUAACACUACAGGAUGGGCCCGCGUCGCAUUAGCUAGUUGGUAAGGUAACGGCUUACCAAGGCGACGAUGCGUAGCCGACCUGAGAGGGUGAUCGGCCACACUGGGACUGAGACACGGCCCAGACUCCUACGGGAGGCAGCAGUAGGGAAUCUUCCGCAAUGGACGAAAGUCUGACGGAGCAACGCCGCGUGAGCGAUGAAGGCCUUCGGGUCGUAAAGCUCUGUUGUUA
rnacentral:rRNA from 1 species